rnacentral:rRNA from 1 species
UACAGAGGGGGCAAGCGUUGUUCGGAAUUACUGGGCGUAAAGGGCGCGUAGGCGGCCUGUUAAGUCGGACGUGAAAUCCCUCGGCUCAACCGGGGAACUGCGUCCGAUACUGGCGGGCUUGAAUUCGGGAGAGGGAUGCGGAAUUCCAGGUGUAGCGGUGAAAUGCGUAGAUAUCUGGAGGAACACCGGUGGCGAAGGCGGCAUCCUGGACCAACACUGACGCUGAGUGAGCGAAAGCCAGGGGAGCAAACGGG